rnacentral:rRNA from 1 species
AGAGUUGAUUAUGGCUCAGGAUGAACGCUAGCGGCAGGCUAACACAUGCAAGUCGAGGGGCAGCGGGAUGUAGCAAUACAUUGCCGGCGACCGGCGGAUGGGUGCGUAACGCGUAUGCAACCUACCUUAUACAGGGGAAUAGCCUUUCGAAAGGGAGACUAACACCCCAUGGUAUUGAUUUAAGGCAUCUUAGAUUAAUUAAAUAUUUAUAGGUAUAAGAUGGGCAUGCGUAUGAUUAGCUAGUUGGUAAGGUAACGGCUUACCAAGGCGACGAUCAUUAGGGGUUCUGAGAGGAAGGUCCCCACACUGGUACUGAGACACGGACCAGACUCCUACGGGAGGCAGCAGUGAGGAAUAUUGGUCAAUGGGCGCAAGCCUGAACCAGCCAUGCCGCGUGCAGGAAGACGGCCUUAUGGGUUGUAAACUGCUUUUACAUAAGACUAACCGUAUAUUUGCGAAUAUACCUGAAUGUAUUAUGAGAAUAAGGAUCGGCUAACUCCGUGCCAGCCGCCGC